rnacentral:rRNA from 1 species
UACGUAGGGGGCAAGCGUUAUCCGGAUUUACUGGGUGUAAAGGGAGCGUAGGCGGUUCAGCAAGUCAGAAGUGAAAGCCCGGGGCUCAACUCCGGGACUGCUUUUGAAACUGUUGAACUAGAUUGCAGGAGAGGUAAGUGGAAUUCCUAGUGUAGCGGUGAAAUGCGUAGAUAUAUGGAGGAACACCGGUGGCGAAAGCGGCUCUCUGGCCUGUAACUGACACUGAGGCUCGAAAGCGUGGGGAGCAAACAGG